GUUUUAAUAGUUUAACAAAAACAUUGGUCUUGUAAAUCAAAAAUAAAAUUAUAUUUUUUAAAACU
rnacentral:tRNA from 1 species